CUGGCUCAGGAUGAACGCUAGCGGCAGGCUAACACAUGCAAGUCGAGGGGCAUCGGGAGUAGCAAUACUGCCGGCGACCGGCGCAAGGGUGCGUAACGCGUGAGCAACAUGCCCGUAUCAGGGGGAUAAUCCAUGGAAACGUGGUCUAAUACCCCAUAGUAAUUAUGUAAGGCAUCUUAUAUAAUUUAAAGCUUUGGUGGAUACGGAUUGGCUCGCGUGACAUUAGCUAGAUGGUAAGGUAACGGCUUACCAUGGCUACGAUGUCUAGGGGUUCUGAGAGGAAGGUCCCCCCACACUGGAACUGAGACACGGUCCAGACUCCUACGGGAGGCAGCAGUGAGGAAUAUUGGACAAUGGAUGGAAAUCUGAUCCAGCCAUGCCGCGUGCAGGAAAGACGGCCCUAUGGGUUGUAAACUGCUUUUGUAUGGGAGCAAUAAGGGCUACGCGUAGUCCGAUGAGAGUACCAUACGAAUAAGCACCGGCUAACUCCGUGCCAGCAGCCGC
rnacentral:rRNA from 1 species